rnacentral:lncRNA from 1 species
AUUUUAGGCUAAGGGGACCUUUGUUUUAGGUCUCAAGGCUUGCAGACUCAUUUUGGGCUAUUGUAUGAAUUUUGGUAAGAGGUCUUUUUGUGUGGGGCCCACAUUUUAUCAAAACAACUCUGGAUGCAAAUUUUGGUGGUGUAUUAGGUAUCAUAGUUCAUUUAUGUUUAUGGGAUUCUAAUAAAUCCUAAGGGGUCGAUGGAAACUUGGGAAAAAC